rnacentral:rRNA from 1 species
CACGGAAUUAGCCGGUCCUUAUUCAUGCGGUACAUGCAAUGAAAUACACGUAAAUCACUUUAUUCCCGCAUAAAAGCAGUUUACAACCCAUAGGGCCGUCAUCCUGCACGCUACUUGGCUGGUUCAGACUCUCGUCCAUUGACCAAUAUUCCUCACUGCUGCCUCCCGUAGGAGUUUGGACCGUGUCUCAGUUCCAAUGUGGGGGACCUUCCUCGCAGAACCCCUACCGAUCGUAGGCUAGGUGGGCUGUUACCCCGCUACUACCUAAUCGGACGCAUCCCUAACCAUAACCGAUAAAUCUUUCGUCUAAAUAUGAGGCCAUAAAUAGACAACAUAGAGUAUUAGACCGCUUUCGACGGAUUAUCCCCUAGUUAUGGGAAAUUGGAUACGCGAUAACUCACCCGUGCGCCGGUCGCCAUCAAAUUAUUGCAAGCAAAUAAUUAUAGCUAGCCCCCUGACCUUGCAUGUGUUAAGCCUGUAGCUAGCGUUCAUCCUGAGCCAGGAUCAAAACUU